rnacentral:snRNA from 1 species
CUAAAGCUGCUUUGAAUCCUAUU